GAUGAAUGCUGGCGGCGUGCCUAAUACAUGCAAGUCGAGCGAACAGACGAGGAGCUUGCUCCUCUGACGUUAGCGGCGGACGGGUGAGUAACACGUGGAUAACCUACCUAUAAGACUGGGAUAACUUCGGGAAACCGGAGCUAAUACCGGAUAAUAUAUUGAACCGCAUGGUUCAAUAGUGAAAGACGGUUUUGCUGUCACUUAUAGAUGGAUCCGCGCCGCAUUAGCUAGUUGGUAAGGUAACGGCUUACCAAGGCAACGAUGCGUAGCCGACCUGAGAGGGUGAUCGGCCACACUGGAACUGAGACACGGUCCAGACUCCUACGGGAGGCAGCAGUAGGGAAUCUUCCGCAAUGGGCGAAAGCCUGACGGAGCAACGCCGCGUGAGUGAUGAAGGUCUUCGGAUCGUAAAACUCUGUUAUUAGGGAAGAACAAAUGUGUAAGUAACUAUGCACGUCUUGACGGUACCUAAUCAGAAAGCCACGGCUAACUACGU
rnacentral:rRNA from 1 species